CUGUCUAUAUGAGCCUGUCUCAGACUGAACUGCGUGUCUCCAUAAGCUUGACUUUGUGAGUCUACAUCUGUCUGCAUUAAACAGCCUUUGUCUGCAUGCCUGCGUGAUUCUGUUUGUCUCCACGGGCCUGUGUCUGUCUCUGUCUACACGAGCCUGUGUCUGUCUCUGUCUACACGAGCUUGUCUCUGCCUCCUCUGUGUUCUUUUAUUUGC